CCCCGUUGAUGUUCAAUAAGACCAUCAGCAGUCUUUCGAUGGAUAUCACAGCGAGUGUCUGCCUGUUAAAGGUGAUGGUGACAACCAGCCCAUCAGGCUCCGCGUAACCGGCCUGAAUGUGAACCCGAGAGAUGGCAUCCCGGACAUUCAACAGUGUCUGCUGCAGCGUCCAAGUUAUUCUUGUGCUGACUGCACCCAUAGUUAGAGAUCAGAGUUCCUUCUGGCUUCACAAUGACUGAUGACUUCACUUUUAAUAGGAGAAGCGUCGGGUUAUGGAUUCUCGGGUUACGGAUACUCGGGUUUUGGAUUUUCGGUGUACCCCGAAACAUCUUCAAUCUGAAAAUGUUUUUCUAAAAUGGGAAAAAAAAAAAAAAAAUCUGAAAUUCACUAUUUUCUAUUUCACAGUUUAUGUGAACGAUAGUGUUUUUUAUUAAAAGCAUAUUGUCUCCCUGUAAUGAAAUAAUGAAACUCGAACCUCUGUUAGAGAGACAGUUUUAGUGUCGGAUUCAGAGCACCGGCUCUAGUGCGCCACUGGCUCCACUGUCUAAUCACGGUGCAGAAGACAGCGACUCGACAGCGCGGACACAAAGUGAGUGAAAACAGUUGCUUGGUGAAAAGUGAAUCUCUCGGUGCGCUCAGCCUCUGUCUGCUUUCCUGAACCCGUGGCUGCAGACAUAAACCCCUCCCACUGCUCCUCCCCAGCCCGUCUGAAUGGGGCCGGUACUUUGCUCAUCGAGAUUUGCUCUAUUAACCUGACAGCAGUGCAGCAGUCUGAGCAUUGGGAUUGUUUGAAUUGUCGAGCCACUGCAAACAUUUCAAUAUGGCUGAUGUGAAUAGAAAUGUUGUCGCUGUGCUCCAGCAGACACUGCGGGCUUUUCUUCGACACCUUGUUUCCCGCUUUGAAAUCAGGCUGUGCAUUGAAGAGCCACAUGGUCUUGUUGUUGUCCUCCUCCGUGACGGAGAUAGGCUGGCUGUGAUCUUCAUCACUAGUCUCCUGGGGGGCAACCCUGCUGACUCAGCUGCGUAGUCAUGUUAAGGGAGGCAUCCGAUGGAGCCACUGACCCCCAGAGACACUGAGCUCUGACUUCAGCCUACAUCUCCAAAAAGGAUAUUUUGAUACGCUGGACACAUGAUUGCAAGUGUUGUUGCUGCUGUUUGGUGACUUCAGCACAAUCUCCCCUAUCAAAGUGAUUGGCAAAUGCGCUCUGCACCUGCAUAUUGGACUUCCUCACUAACAGAACCGGGAGACACUUUGUGACAGGAGUCACACCUCCUCCACUCUAGUGCUCAACACCAGAGCACCUCGGGGCUGCGUGUGCGCUCUGCGCCCUCCUGUUCAUACUGUACACCCUUGACUGCAUCCACUGCCAUGGACAAAACUCUGCUGUGAGGUUGUGCGUCUGACACCUCCAUCAUCGGCUGGAUUUCACCCAACGAUGAGACUUCGGAGAGGGACUUUGAGAGGAAAUGAACAAUCUUUCAAAGGAAAAAUUCCUGCACAGAGCAGAACUUAUUCCUCUUUGAGGAACCAAAGCUCUGCGAUCACUGCUGCUCUGUCUCAUUGAUGUUGAAUAUGACCACCAGCAGCAACAUCUUUAAUCUGAAAAUGUAUUCCUAAAAUGUAAAAAAUCUUAAUUUUCUUCUUCAAUUCACAAUUUCCCAUUUGACGGUUUAUGUGAAUAAAAGUGUGUUUUAUUAAAAGCAUAUUGUCUCCCUGUAA